rnacentral:rRNA from 1 species
CACAAGCGGUGGAUGAUGUGGAUUAAUUCGAUGCAACGCGAAAACCUUACCUACCUUGACAUGUCCGGAAUCCCGAAGAGAUUUGGGAGUGCUCGCAAGAGAACCGGAACACAGGUGCUGCAUGGCUGUCGUCAGCUCGUGUCGUGAGAUGUUGGGUUAAGUCCCGCAACGAGCGCAACCCUUGUCAUUAGUUGCCAUCAUUUGGUUGGGCACUCUAAUGAGACUGCCGGUGACAAACCGGAGGAAAGGUGGGGAUGACGUCAAGUCCUCAUGGCCCUUAUGGGUAGGGCUUCACACGUCAUACAAUGGUCGGUACAGAGGGUUGCCAACCCGCGAGGGGGAGCUAAUCCCACAAAGCCGAUCGUAGUCCGGAUCGCAGUCUGCAACUCGACUGCGUGAAGUCGGAAUCGCUAGUAAUCGUGGAUCAGCAUGUCACGGUGAAUACGUUCCCGGGCCUU